UACGUAGGGGGCAAGCGUUGUCCGGAAUCAUUGGGCGUAAAGAGCGUGUAGGCGGCCCGAUAAGUCCGCUGUGAAAGUCCAGGGCUCAACCCUGGGAUGCCGGUGGAUACUGUCGGGCUCGAGUCCGGAAGAGGAGUGUGGAAUCCCUGGUGUAGCGGUGAAAUGCGCAGAUAUCAGGAGGAACACCAAUGGCGAAGGCAGCACUCUGGGACGUGACUGACGCUGAGACGCGAAAGCGUGGGGAGCAAACAGG
rnacentral:rRNA from 1 species